CUCUUGGAUAGCAGGCAGAAAAUCUGGCUUUAAAAGAGGAGCUCAGACAGGAAGCAGCAAUCUUCCAGGGGGAUUUCUGAGUCAAGCAGGAGAGCAACUGGCUUCUUGAAGUGUGGAUUUCAAAGAUCCCUAAAACCCUUGGCUGCACAGUUGGAGCAGUACUGAAGAACCAGCACCCCAGAGGACCUGCAUGUCCCCAGCACUUGUACCGUGAGUCAUGGCUGAGCUGCACAAGCCUCUUCAGAGUGAGAAACCUCCAUGCUGGGGUCGGCAUUGAAACAGCUGAUUUGUGUCAACACCAAGUCCAGGCUGCUUUUGAAACUGUCUCAUGUCUGUGCCUGAGCUGCCAAUCCCAUCUGAGAUACCAAGGUGUGCUCAGAAAGAGUGUAACAACAGGAGGGACAGCAGGUGAGUGUGUGCAUGAGGACACUGCUGUGCCUGGGUCCUGUUAAAGGCCUUGGUGUGCUGCAGCCACUGCAAGCAGCUCUGUUAAUUAGCAAUUCCUUUAACAGCUGUGUGCACAGCUGGGGCUAGAUCAAGCCCCUUUGGUGGGCAGAAGAGUGAUGUGAGCUGUGAGCAUGCUGAGUAGGGUAGAAAGGGGGUUUUUGUGGUUUUAUUCACUAAGGGAUUGAUAACCUAUUCAGUAAAGGCUUAUGGGGGAAAGUGAGUCAUUUUUGCUGGAGAUUGUGAUUUCUUUUUUCCUUGUUAUCAAUACUCUGUCCAGUUUGCCAUGGGCUUUCCUCCGACCCUGCUGCUCAUAUACUUUUACAUUUCCUCUGUCAAUUAGGCUAAAAUACGAGGGAAAAGGCAAGAGAAGGGCUCUUGUCAAGUGGUUCUCCCAGGGCUGUGAACACAGGUGUUAAAAACUGCCUCAUUAAAUCUCCCUCUCAAGGCCUUUCAGAA